CUCGAGGGCCAAAAGAAAAUGCGCCGGCCGAAGCGCCAAACCACAAUCGCCGGGUGCGCCUGGGGGUUCCUUGCGGCGGCAGCGGCGGGCGUGCUCCUCGCGGCGGCAGCGGCAGCGGCGGGCGUGUCCCUUGCGGCGGUGGUGGCAGCGCGGCUGCGUGGGGGAGGGGAAGCAGCAGGGGCCGCGUGGUCGAAGGGAAGCAGCUGCGGUAGCAGAGGGUCGCAAGGUCUGCUGCCGCAACAGACGCCUAGGGUUCCUCCUUCCCCAACCCCAACCAGCUCUGCAGCAACCCAGCUCGCCAACGAGAUCUCGCUCUCACUGUCAACACCAGCAAAGGCUUCAACCCGGAAAAUAACUGGGCUGAAGAUACACGACUACCAUAUUCUUCUUCAGAGAAUACUCCCGAUUGGAAUGCGAGGGUUUCUGCACAAAGAUAUCUGGUGAUGCACUUCUGCAACUGGGUAGAUUUUUUCGCCAAUUAUGCUCUAAGACAUUGAAGCUGGAUAUCUUGGAUAAGUUGGAACAACAAAUAGUAAUUGUGUCGUGCAAACUAGAAAUGAUUCUCCCAACUGCAUUCUUUGAUAUCAGUGUGCACUUAGCAGUACAUCUACCACAACAAGCAAGGCUUGGAGGUCCUGUACAAUACAGAUGGAUGUUCUUCAUUGAAAGAAAUGGUCCACAAUUGGGAAGGCUAACCGCUCAAACCAACCUUAUGUUCACAAGAAGGGAACAAAGUCAUUUGUAGCUGUUCAACAUGAAUUAAAUUGUGGCGAUAUCAGACUAUACAAGGAGUGUUACUCUAGGGAUAAGAAGGGAUGGGCAUCAGAAGAUGCCAGGAAUAAACAUGAAGAAAUGUUGCAGAAGCAAAAAGAACCUAUAGAGGAGGGCGAACACCUUUAACAGAGCAACAGAUUGGUGAGCAGGUGCUUAGUAAGGCAUAUGGUUACAUCAGAGGUCUGGGUCAUGGACCAAAACCAAAUAGAAGGGCCAAGCAAGCGCAUCAAGCUCAACUCAGCAUGUAGUGGAAGAAUUGGCCUCUACAAAGGAGAUUGUUGCUACGCAACAAACUCAAAUUGGCUCAACAAAAGAAGAUCGAUUGGCUACAGAGUGUCGUGUCUAACUUGGUUGGCAUUUCACCUCCUAUGGACGGCACUAGUGUGAUAGGGCUUCGUUUCACAACUGAUGGAUCUGUUUUGAAGUCAGGCUACAGAUCUGUUUCUUCUGAUGGUAUGAUCAGUAUAACUCUCAUAGUCAGUACAACUCUUUUGUCUCAACUCUUUGCAAUACGGUUUAGAGUAGUGAUGCCCUGAAUCAAGCGCAACAUCCAUGCAGUACUCCAUGCAUUGAUCUGCUUCUAGUACUCCAUGCAUUGAAUCAAGUGAUGCCCUAAAUCAAGCGCAAUAUCCAUGCAGUACUCCAUGCAUUGAAUCAAGUGAUGCCCUGAAUCAAACGCAAUAUCCAUGCAGUACUCCAUGCAUUGUAGGUUGCACUGUCUGCUGCACGUUCAGUAGAAACAAUCAAGUGCAGUACUCGCAUGUCCAACUGCCUUUUUUAUGUAAUAGAAUCUUCUCAUAAAUGUAAGUACAUCAGUUUGUUGAGUGCAUGCUUUAUAAGGCACUUCAUUGCCACAAGGCGAAGCAUCUCCCUGCUCAAGCCGUCGUCAAGCGCAACCACCACCCUCCCUAAACACCAAGCUGCCCAGUCCGCCGAUCGGCUGUUCGUCGGACAUGACCAGCCGCAAAACUGGCCCGGGCGCUGGAGCGACGGCGAGAUGUCGGCCCUCGUUGAGGCAUGGGGGCAGAUUUAUCUCCGCCGCAACCGCAGCUCCCUCCGCAUGGACGA